rnacentral:rRNA from 1 species
AUUGAACGCUGGCGGAAUGCUUUACACAUGCAAGUCGAACGGCAGCACGGACUUCGGUCUGGUGGCGAGUGGCGAACGGGUGAGUAAUGUAUCGGAACGUGCCCAGUCGUGGGGGAUAACGUAGUGAAAAUUACGCUAAUACCGCAUACGAUCUAUGGAUGAAAGCGGGGGAUCGCAAGACCUCGCGCGAUUGGAGCGGCCGAUAACAGAUUAGGUAGUUGAUGGGGUAAAGGCCCACCAAGCCAACGAUCUGUAGCUGGUCUGAGAGGACGACCGACCACACUGGACCUGAGACACGGUCCAGACUCCUACGGGAGGCAGCAGUGGGGAAUUUUGGACAAUGGGCGAAAGCCUGAUCCAGCCAUUCCGCGGGCAGGAUGAAGGCCCUCGGGUUGUAAACUGCUUUUGUACAGAACGAAAAGGUUUCUACUAAUACUAGGAGCUCAUGACGGUACUGUAAGAAUAAGCACCGGCUAACUACGUGCCAGCCGCCGCCGUAA